AACUUUCAACAAUGGAUCACUUGGCUCUGGCAUCGAUGAAGAACGCAGCGAAAUGCGAUAACUAAUGUGAAUUGCAGACUUCAGUGAAUCAUCGAAUCUUUGAACGCACAUUGCGCCCGCUAGUACUCUAGCGGGCAUGCCUGUCCGAGCGUCAUUUCAACCCUCAAGCCCUGCUUGGUGCUGGGGCCCUACGGCUGCCGUAGGCCCUGAAAUGAAGUGGCGGGCUCGCUACGACUCCGAGCGCAGUAAUUCGUUAUCUCGCUAGGGAGGUGUGGCGUGCUCCUGCCGUUAAAGACCCCAUCUUUAACCAAAGGUUGACCUCGGAUCAGGUAGGAAUACCCGCUGAACUUAAGCAUAUCAAUAAGCGGAGGCU
rnacentral:misc_RNA from 1 species